rnacentral:tRNA from 1 species
GGGGUGUUAGUAAACUAAUUACAUGGCCUUGUCAAAGCCAAACUAUAGGUGAGACCCCUAUACACCCCU